GACGAACGCUGGCGGCGUGCUUAACACAUGCCAGUCGAACGGAAAGGCCCUGCUUUUGUGGGGUGCUCGAGUGGCGAACGGGUGAGUAACACGUGAGUAACCUGCCCUUGACUUUGGGAUAACUUCAGGAAACUGGGGCUAAUACCGGAUAGGAGCUCCUGCUGCAUGGUGGGGGUUGGAAAGUUUCGGCGGUUGGGGAUGGACUCGCGGCUUAUCAGCUUGUUGGUGGGGUAGUGGCUUACCAAGGCUUUGACGGGUAGCCGGCCUGAGAGGGUGACCGGCCACAUUGGGACUGAGAUACGGCCCAGACUCCUACGGGAGGCAGCAGUGGGGAAUAUUGCAUAAUGGGCGGAAGCCUGAUGCAGCAACGCCGCGUGCGGGAUGACGGCCUUCGGGUUGUAAACCGCUUUCGCCUGUGACGAAGCGUGAGUGACGGUAAUGGGUAAAGAAGCACCGGCUAACUACGUG
rnacentral:rRNA from 1 species